rnacentral:lncRNA from 1 species
AAUAUAGCAAGUGGAAGACUUUCUAGACUUUAUACAUGAUGUCUCAAAACCAUCUAAUACUUUAGAGUACAAAAUUUGGGACUAAUCCCAUACACAACUUGAACAAUACUAGAAAUACAUCAAAAGGAACAUGUAGGGUAUUGUCCUCGAAUCUAUGAGGACUCACCAAGUCUUCAUCUCCAACACUUAGAAACCUAUCAAGUAGCCAUGACAUGUCACCAUCUCCAAAUCCCUACACUUUAGUUAAAAAGGGAAAGAAAGGGGUUAGCACAAUUAAGUACUAAGUAUGGAGACCAUGCACAAACAUGCUAAAAAGGACAUUUUCAAAGAAUAAAUGCUUUCAUAUCAAUUUGAUAAAACCUUUCCUUUACAAGUAUAAGAGACAUAAUACAAGUCAACAUUAACAUAUAAGACCAUAGCCCACCAUACAUGUAAUCAACUCGGUGGCGUUGGAAAGAUCGUUCCAAGGGCUUUCCAAACAUAACUGGAACUACUCCUGGAUCAUCCUGAGCUAGGAGUUAUGACUGCUCAAAGUUGGCCAAAAACUCACUGAUUUCCCACACUUAACCAAAUUUCCAGGUUCU